GACCCGCCCCUCACAGAUGUUGUCUGCAGGUCGCGAGCAGCAGUGAGGAGGACGGGGCGAGCUUGAUCUCCCCGACCCGGCGUCGCGCGCAGUUGGAAAAUGAGCGAAGAAUUAGAAUUGGUUUCUUAUAUAACGGAAGAAAACA